rnacentral:misc_RNA from 1 species
AAGUCGUAACAAGGUUUCCGUAGGUGAACCUGCGGAAGGAUCAUUAUCAACGUUAUCCACGUAUAAACCAAUAUCGUGAACUGUCACUUCUUUUUCUUAUUAACUACCUCGAAAAUCCUUUGUGAUUUGACAGAGUUAAUUCUAAUGAUUAUCGGAACUGAUUAUAUGGAAAACAACCGUUCUUCUUUUGGGAAGGACCUGUUUUCUUUCAUUUUACGAAAUUAUUCGAACAACUCUUAGCAACGGAUAUCUUGGUUCUC